rnacentral:rRNA from 1 species
CCUACGGGUGGCUGCAGUGAGGAAUAUUGGUCAAUGGACGAGAGUCUGAACCAGCCAAGUCGCGUGAAGGAUGACUGCCCUAUGGGUUGUAAACUUCUUUUAUAUGGGAAUAAAAUGUUCCACGUGUGGGAUUUUGUAUGUACCAUAUGAAUAAGGAUCGGCUAACUCCGUGCCAGCAGCCGCGGUAAUACGGAGGAUCCGAGCGUUAUCCGGAUUUAUUGGGGUUAAAGGGAGCGUAGGUGGAUUGUUAAGUAAGUUGUGAAAGUUUGCGGCUCAACCGUGAAAUUGCAGUUGAAACUGGCAGUCUUGAGUACAGUAGAGGUAGGCGGAAUUCGUGGUGUAGCGGUGAAAUGCUUAGAGAUCACGAAGAACACCGAUUGCGAAGGCAGCUCACUGGGCUGCAACUGACGCUGAGGCACGAAAGUGUGGGGAGCAAACAGGAUUAGAUACCCGUGUAGUC